rnacentral:rRNA from 1 species
GACGAACGCUGGCGGCGUGCUUAACACAUGCAAGUCGAACGGUAAGGCUCCAGCUUGCUGGGGUACACGAGUGGCGAACGGGUGAGUAACACGUGGGUGACCUGCCCUGCACUUCGGGAUAAGCCUGGGAAACUGGGUCUAAUACCGGAUAGGACCUUGGUGUGGAUACUGUGGUGGACAGUUUUUUCGGUGUGGGAUGGGCCCGCGGCCUAUCAGCUUGUUGGUGGGGUAAUGGCCUACCAAGGCGGCGACGGGUAGCCGGCCUGAGAGGGUGGACGGCCACAUUGGGACUGAGACACGGCCCAGACUCCUACGGGAGGCAGCAGUGGGGAAUAUUGCACAAUGGGCGGAAGCCUGAUGCAGCGACGCCGCGUGGGGGAUGACGGCCUUCGGGUUGUAAACUCCUUUCACCAGCGACGAAGGGUUUCUGACGGUAGAUGGAGAAGAAGCACCGGCUAACUACGUG